rnacentral:rRNA from 1 species
ACGUAGGAUGCAAGCGUUGUCCGGAUUUAUUGGGCGUAAAGAGUUCGUAGGCGGUUUAUUAAGUUUGGUGUUAAAUACUGAGGCUCAACCUCGGAACUGCAUUGAAUACUGGUAGACUCGAGUACAGUAGAGGUUAGUGGAAUUCCCAGUGUAGCGGUGAAAUGCGUAGAUAUUGGGAAGAACACCGGUGGCGUAAGCGACUAACUGGGCUGUAACUGACGCUGAGGAACGAAAGCCAGGGGAGCAAAUGGGAUUAGAUACCCCAGUAGUCCUGGCCGUAAACGAUGGAUACUAGGCGUAGCGGGUAUCAACCCCUGCUGUGCCGUAGCUAACGCGAUAAGUAUCCCGCCUGAGUAGUACGGCCGCAAGGUUG